rnacentral:rRNA from 1 species
GGGGAGUACGAUCGCAAGAUUAAAACUCAAAGGAAUUGACGGGGCCCCGCACAAGCAGCGGAGCAUGCGGCUUAAUUCGACGCAACGCGAAGAACCCUACCAAGGCUUGACAUAUACAGGAAUAUGGCAGAGAUGUCAUAGCCGCAAGGUCUGUAUACAGGUGGUGCAUGGUUGUCGUCAGCUCGUGUCGUGAGAUGUUGGGUUAAGUCCCGCAACGAGCGCAACCCUCGUUCUGUGUUGCCAGCAUUUAGUUGGGGACUCACAGGAGACUGCCGGGGUUAACUCGGAGGAAGGUGGGGAUGACGUCAAAUCAUCAUGCCCCUUAUGUCUUGGGCUGCACGCAUGCUACAAUGGCUGGUACAAACGGCUGCGAUACCGCAAGGUGGAGCGAAUCCGAUAAAGCCAGUCUCAGUUCGGAUUGGGGUCUGCAACUCGACCCCAUGAAGUCGGAGUUGCUAGUAAUCGUAGAUCAGCAACGCUACGGUGAAUACGCUCCCGGGGCUUGUACACACCGCCCGUCACAUCACGAAAGUCG